UAAUUUUGGCCAAUUUACUCCUUGAACUUUAGACACUGCCAAAUCAAUACCUAUGUUAUUCUUCUGUUAAUAAACUAAUGGUAAAACUCAGGUGAGAGGCAUGUGGGAAUAAAAAACAAAACUGAACAGCCUGAACCAUUGAGAGAGAGGGAGAAAGUUUGGGCUCUGUUUAGGGAGAGAGAGAGGGAGAUGAUCCAACCAGAAGUCCAUAACCACCUCAGUAUCCUCUGUCCAGUGCCGGAGUUCCGUAGUCAUCUCACUGGCUGUUCACCACUGGGAAUUCAAGGCCUAGGUUCCAUGAGUUUAACCAACACACUGGCAUGAAGAAUGUAUAGCUAAUAGAUGGACUCAAAUUUGUAUCACAUGUAGUCUUCAAGGAGGCACUAAAGAAGUGGUGUAUUAAAGAAAAUCAUGAUUAGGCAAUAAGUGGAGAGUAAAAACUAGAUGCAAAAAUAAUUCUAAUAAAAAAAAAGUGGUUGGAAGAUAGAGCAUCCCGAACACAAAUGGGUGUUAUUCUUUUGAAACAAUUUACUAUUUGUAAAUGCUCAUUGAUAUUUUAAUUCAUGGUAGUUGAGGAGAACAUUUUACUCUUUGUAAACCUUUUGGUUUGAUAUUUCAUCACUUAAUGUAUAUCAAAGCAAUCAAAUAAAGUGAUAUUGUAAGUGUUAGCUGAGAA